AGUAUAUGAAUCUGCACCUGCAAGAAGACUUUUGCCAUCACAGUCAACUCAUUAUUGAGAGAACUCUGAGUAGUGUGGAGACUUGGCUGUCACCCCAGACUUGCUUCCCUGGAACACCUAACUUUGUUCCUGGCUGCUGACAGCACAGCCUCCUUAGGAAGAGUUCAGCUUAGAUACAGAGGAGGAGACAGAAUGUGUAAAUCGUGCAAACUCCAAAGGCGUAUGUAAGUAGUUUGGGCGCACUGUCCUGUGCAUAUGCCUCUUUUCUGCUUAUUAAGAGCAAUGUAAUGAUUUGUGCAUCCUUAAUAUGUUUCAGUGCAGUACAUGUUCACAUACAUGUCGUGAGGUCUUUAAAUUCAUAUUUACAUUUCAAACAUAUGUCUGUCCAUUUAUUUCACCCAGAUACAUGCAUUAGAUAGACAAAUAUUUGGUUUCCUUUCAGUGCUACCCUCAAACAACUGUUAUGUUAAAUGUCUUCACACUUCAUAAAAAGAAAAUGUAACAUAUGCAAAGUGAUCCUCCCCUCCACCACUGGGAGAUUAUAACAUGAACUGGCAUUUGGAUUCCUGAUCUUUGCAGAUAUUUACUUGUAAAAGUAAGUAUUUAAAAAUAUCACCAAGCAAACUACUAAAUAGCUGCUAGUGUUUAUCUCUCAGUUAACAAACACUAUAUAAAAAUUUUAUUCACUAUGGUAAGAAAAAGACUUUUAAAGUUUUUUUCUCGAUAUAUUAUCUCCAGGAAUGCCUAUUAAAUAUUAACACCAAUAAAAAAACAAGAAAAUAUAUUAAUAUGAAGACAGUGAUAUAAUGGAAUAUAUUUAAUAUGAAAACUGCUAUCUCAUUAUGAGUUAAACAUCUUACAGCAAUGAAAAUUCAGUACUUCAAAGAAAAUUAAAGGUAUUGUAAUCUAGCACCAAGAAGAGGAAGUAGAGAUCUCUUCAGGAGAUGACAAAUGUGGCUCGACAAGUCAGAAGCUGCCAGAUGUGGAAACAUGCUUGUUUCAACAAGGUGUUGUAAAGAUAAAAUGAGAAGGUAAAUGUGAAAUAUUAUGUACAACAAUGGUAAAAGGAUUAUUCAGUAUUAAGUUAUUGAUGAAAAGGAAUUUCUGGCAUAAUUAUUUUGAAAGAAUAUUGUACUUCAUAAAGAUACAGAGUAGCAGAAUGUUUGACCACUGUGUAGAAUAAAUUCCACAAAGGCAGGGCCAUGUCUUAUGAAAUUUAUACUCUCAAACACCUAACACCUAACCUUGUACCUAGGAAUAAUUAUCUUAUGUGUGGACAGAAGAUAAAUCAUAUAGCUGGAAUUAUUUUCAAAAUAGUAAUCAUUUUUAACAUGAGC
ensembl:lncRNA